UACGGAGGGGGCUAGCGUUGUUCGGAAUUACUGGGCGUAAAGCGCGCGUAGGCGGACCUGCAAGUCGGGGGUGAAAGCCCGAGGCUCAAGCUCGGAACUGCCUUCGAUACUGCGGGUCUCGAGUCCGGGAGAGGUGAGUGGAAUUCCUAGUGUAGAGGUGAAAUUCGUAGAUAUUAGGAAGAACACCAGUGGCGAAGGCGGCUCACUGGCCCGGUACUGACGCUGAGGCGCGAAAGCGUGGGGAGCAAACAGG
rnacentral:rRNA from 1 species